rnacentral:rRNA from 1 species
AAAUUGAAGAGUUUGAUCAUGGCUCAGAUUGAACGCUGGCGGCAGGCCUAACACAUGCAAGUCGAGCGGUAGCACAGAGAGCUUGCUCUCGGGUGACGAGCGGCGGACGGGUGAGUAAUGUCUGGGAAACUGCCUGAUGGAGGGGGAUAACUACUGGAAACGGUAGCUAAUACCGCAUAACGUCGCAAGACCAAAGUGGGGGACCUUCGGGCCUCAUGCCAUCAGAUGUGCCCAGAUGGGAUUAGCUAGUAGGUGGGGUAAUGGCUCACCUAGGCGACGAUCCCUAGCUGGUCUGAGAGGAUGACCAGCCACACUGGAACUGAGACACGGUCCAGACUCCUACGGGAGGCAGCAGUGGGGAAUAUUGCACAAUGGGCGCAAGCCUGAUGCAGCCAUGCCGCGUGUGUGAAGAAGGCCUUCGGGUUGUAAAGCACUUUCAGCGGGGAGGAAGGCGAUAAGGUUAAUAACCUUGGCGAUUGACGUUACCCGCAGAAGAAGCACCGGCUAACUCCGUGCCAGCAGCCGCGGUAAUACGGAGGGUGCAAGCGUUAAUCGGAAUUACUGGGCGUAAAGCGCACGCAGGCGGUCUGUCAAGUCGGAUGUGAAAUCCCCGGGCUCAACCUGGGAACUGCAUUCGAAACUGGCAGGCUAGAGUCUUGUAGAGGGGGGUAGAAUUCCAGGUGUAGCGGUGAAAUGCGUAGAGAUCUGGAGGAAUACCGGUGGCGAAGGCGGCCCCCUGGACAAAGACUGACGCUCAGGUGCGAAAGCGUGGGGAGCAAACAGGAUUAGAUACCCUGGUAGUCCACGCCGUAAACGAUGUCGAUUUGGAGGUUGUGCCCUUGAGGCGUGGCUUCCGGAGCUAACGCGUUAAAUCGACCGCCUGGGGAGUACGGCCGCAAGGUUAAAACUCAAAUGAAUUGACGGGGGCCCGCACAAGCGGUGGAGCAUGUGGUUUAAUUCGAUGCAACGCGAAGAACCUUACCUGGUCUUGACAUCCACAGAACUUUCCAGAGAUGGAUUGGUGCCUUCGGGAACUGUGAGACAGGUGCUGCAUGGCUGUCGUCAGCUCGUGUUGUGAAAUGUUGGGUUAAGUCCCGCAACGAGCGCAACCCUUAUCCUUUGUUGCCAGCGGU